rnacentral:rRNA from 1 species
UACGAAGGGGGGCUAGCGUUGUUCGGAAUCACUGGGCGUAAAGCGCACGUAGGCGGAUGUGCCAGUCAGGGGUGAAAUCCCGGAGCUCAACUCCGGAACUGCCUUUGAUACAGCACGUCUUGAGUUCGAGAGAGGUGGGUGGAAUUCCUAGUGUAGAGGUGAAAUUCGUAGAUAUUGGGAAGAACACCGAUGGCGAAGGCAGCCAUCUGGACCGACACUGACGCUGAGGCGCGAAAGCGUGGGGAGCAAACAGG